rnacentral:rRNA from 1 species
UACGUAGGUGGCAAGCGUUAUCCGGAUUUACUGGGUGUAAAGGGCGUGUAGGCGGGACUGCAAGUCAGAUGUGAAAAUUAUGGGCUCAACCCAUAACCUGCAUUUGAAACUGUAGUUCUUGAGUGAUGGAGAGGCAGGCGGAAUUCCGUGUGUAGCGGUGAAAUGCGUAGAUAUACGGAGGAACACCAGUGGCGAAGGCGGCCUGCUGGACAUUAACUGACGCUGAGGCGCGAAAGCGUGGGGAGCUAACAGG